ACUCCUACGGGAGGCAGCAGUGGGGAAUUUUGGACAAUGGGCGAAAGCCUGAUCCAGCCAUGCCGCGUGCAGGAUGAAGGCCUUCGGGUUGUAAACUGCUUUUGUACGGAACGAAAAGCCUCUUUCUAAUAAAGAGGGGUCAUGACGGUACCGUAAGAAUAAGCACCGGCUAACUACGUGCCAGCAGCCGCGGUAAUACGUAGGGUGCAAGCGUUAAUCGGAAUUACUGGGCGUAAAGCGUGCGCAGGCGGUUUUGUAAGACAGAGGUGAAAUCCCCGGGCUCAACCUGGGGAACUGCCUUUGUCCUUGCGGGGCUGGAGUGGGGCAAAAAGGGGGAAAAAUCUUCCGGGUGUAGAAGGGAAUGGUAUAAAAUAGGAGGAAAAAACACCGAUUGGAAAAGGCACCCCCCGGGGGGGCGUGCACUGACGCUCAUGCACCAAAAGCGGGGGGAGCCACCAGGAUUAUAUACCCUGGUAGUCCACGCCCUAAACGAUGUCAACUGGUUGUUGGGUCUUCACUGACUCAGUAACGAAGCUAACGCGUGAAGUUGACCGCCUGGGGAGUACGGCCGCAAGGUUGAAACUCAAAGGAAUUGACGG
rnacentral:rRNA from 1 species